rnacentral:rRNA from 1 species
UAGGGAAUCUUCGGCAAUGGACGAAAGUCUGACCGAGCAACGCCGCGUGAGUGAAGAAGGUUUUCGGAUCGUAAAGCUCUGUUGUAAGAGAAGAACGAGUGUGAGAGUGGAAAGUUCACACUGUGACGGUAUCUUACCAGAAAGGGACGGCUAACUACGUGCCAGCAGCCGCGGUAAUACGUAGGUCCCGAGCGUUGUCCGGAUUUAUUGGGCGUAAAGCGAGCGCAGGCGGUUAGAUAAGUCUGAAGUUAAAGGCUGUGGCUUAACCAUAGUACGCUUUGGAAACUGUUUAACUUGAGUGCAAGAGGGGAGAGUGGAAUUCCAUGUGUAGCGGUGAAAUGCGUAGAUAUAUGGAGGAACACCGGUGGCGAAAGCGGCUCUCUGGCUUGUAACUGACGCUGAGGCUCGAAAGCGUGGGGAGCAAACA